rnacentral:misc_RNA from 1 species
GGUUGGAUCAUUAAAAAUUUAAAUAGCCUCUCAUUGCCACUUUCGGACAUAUCUGGAAGUCCACUCCGAUGGAUGGAUGGAUAUGGGCGCAAAGUGGAAUACAAUGAAUGUUGGCAACACAUAUUGUGAACCGUAACGUCUUUGGUGGUUGGGCGGCAUGCUUCUUUGAAACAUCCGUCUGUCAGCUUGGAUUUAAUAGUCCUCGCCGUGGACAAGCCACCGCCUGUUUUUGUAAACUUGUCUUCUGUUUUUUUUUUGUCUAACAUCUAUUUGUAUGAAUAUACAAAACAACUUUUGGCAACGGAUCUCUUGGUUCUCGCAACGAUGAAGAACGCAGCGAAAUGCGAUAAGUAGUGUGAAUUGCAGAAUUCAGUGAAUCAUCGAAUCUUUGAACGCACAUUGCGCUCCCUGGUAUUCCGGAGAGCAUGCCCGUUUCAGAAUCAAUAAAACCCUCACCAAACUCAUUGCUUUAGGGCAUUGGGUGUAGGUGGAUCUGGAUUUUUGCGUCUGCAAUCAUCUUAAACUCAUUGUGUGUGCACCAAUCGAUGUAUCUUUUGGUUGUCCAAGUGCAGCAGAUUUAUCUAUUUCGCUUUGGCAGUUGACUGAUGCUCUUGAUGUGCAGACUUCAUUCUUAUACGGGAUUCAAAUCGGUAUGAUUUGGGUAUCUGAUAACUUGAUCUGAAAUCGGGCAAGAAAACCCGCUGAACUUAAGCAUAUCAAUAAGCGGAGGAAAAGAAACUAACAAGGAUUCCCCUAGUAACGGCGAGUGAAGCGGGAACAGCUCAAAUUUGAAAUCUCACGGGGUUACCCGUGCGAAUUGUAGUUUAGAGAAGCGUUUUCGGGGGCGACUUGGGUAUAAGUCCUCUGGAACGAGGCAUCAUAGAGGGUGAGAAUCCCGUUUAUGAUCCAAUGUUCGCUCCUAUGUGAUACGCUUUCCAAGAGUCAGGUAGUUUGGGAAUGCUGCCUAAAAUGGGUGGUAAAUACCAUCUAAAGCUAAAUAUUGGCGAGAGACCGAUAGCAAACAAGUACCGUGAGGGAAAGAUGAAAAGAACUUUGAAAAGAGAGUUAAACAGUACGUGAAAUUGCCAAAAGGGAAACGCUUGGAACCAGUAUUGCCUGCAGGUAAUCAGCCGCACGUCCCGCAAGGGUCGCGUGUGGUGCACUUGCUUGCAGGCAGGUCAACAUCAGUUUGGCUUGUGGUAAAAAGCCGGAGGAAGGUAGCUUGGACUUCGGUCUGAGUGUUAUAGCCUCCGGUCAUGCCACGAGCUGGACUGAGGACCGCAGUGUUUUUUGGAUACCCGAUCGCCUCUUGAAGCUUGUGCUCAGACAGCACGCUGACUGGGCUUGAGUGUAGGGAGCACGGUCGGAUAAUCACACCAACGCUUAGGAUGUUGACGAAAUGGUUCCAAACGACCCGUCUUGAAACACGGACCAAGGAGUCUAACAUAUAUGCGAGUAUUUGGGUGGCAAACCCUUAUGCGAAAUGAAAGUGAACUUAGGUGGGAUCUUCGGUGCACCAUCGACCGGUCUGGAUUUUUUUGAUAGAUCUGAGUAAGAGCAUAUCUGUUGGGACCCGAAAGAUGGUGAACUAUGCCUGAAUAGGGUGAAGCCAGAGGAAACUCUGGUGGAGGCUCGUAGCGAUUCUGACGUGCAAAUCGAUCGUCAAAUUUGGGUAUAGGGGCGAAAGACUAAUCGAACCAUCUAGUAGCUGGUUCCCUC